CCUACGGGCGGCAGCAGUGGGGAAUAUUGGACAAUGGGGGCAACCCUGAUCCAGCCAUGCCGCGUGUGUGAAGAAGGCCCUCGGGUUGUAAAGCACUUUCAGUGAGGAAGAACGCCUGGUGGUUAAUACCCAUCAGGAAAGACAUCACUCACAGAAGAAGCACCGGCUAACUCCGUGCCAGCAGCCGCGGUAAUACGGAGGGUGCGAGCGUUAAUCGGAAUUACUGGGCGUAAAGCGCGCGUAGGUGGCUUGAUAAGCCGGUUGUGAAAGCCCCGGGCUCAACCUGGGAACGGCAUCCGGAACUGUCAAGCUAGAGUGCAGGAGAGGAAGGUAGAAUUCCCGGUGUAGCGGUGAAAUGCGUAGAGAUCGGGAGGAAUACCAGUGGCGAAGGCGGCCUUCUGGACUGACACUGACACUGAGGUGCGAAAGCGUGGGUAGCAAACAGGAUUUAGAUACCCCAGUAGUC
rnacentral:rRNA from 1 species